CCUACGGGCGGCAGCAGUGAGGAAUAUUGGUCAAUGGCCGAGAGGCUGAACCAGCCAAGUCGCGUGAGGGAAGACGGCCCUACGGGUUGUAAACCUCUUUUGUCUGGGAACAAAGCGAACCACGUGUGGUUCAUUGAGAGUACCCUAAGAAUAAGCAUCGGCUAACUCCGUGCCAGCAGCCGCGGUACUACGGGGGAUGCGAGCGUUAUCCGGAUUUAUUGGGUUUAAAGGGUGCGCAGGCGGACGUGAAAGUCAGCGGUCAAAUUGCGGGGCUCAACCCCGUACUGCCGUUGAAACUGCAUGCCUUGAGUGCGCGAGAGGUAUGCGGAAUGCGUGGUGUAGCGGUGAAAUGCAUAGAUAUCACGCAGAACUCCGAUUGCGAAGGCAGCAUACCGGCGCGCAACUGACGCUCAUGCACGAAAGCGUGGGUAUCGAACAGGAUUAGAUACCCGAGUAGUC
rnacentral:rRNA from 1 species